AUUGAACGCUGGCGGCAGGCCUAACACAUGCAAGUCGAACGGUAACAGGAAGAAGCUUGCUUAUUUGCUGACGAGUGGCGGACGGGUGAGUAAUGUCUGGGAAACUGCCUGAUGGAGGGGGAUAACUACUGGAAACGGUAGCUAAUACCGCAUACGGUGGAAGGACAAAGGGGGGGGACUUGGGGGCUUUUGGCAUUGGGUGGGGCCAGAUGGGAUUAGCUAGUAGGUGGGGUAACGGCUCACCUAGGCGACGAUCCCUAGCUGGUCUGAGAGGAUGACCCGCCACACUGGAACUGAGACACGGUCCAGACUCCUACGGGAGGCAGCAGUGGGGAAUAUUGCACAAUGGGCGCAAGCCUGAUGCAGCCAUGCCGCGUGUAUGAAGAAGGCCUUCGGGUUGUAAAGUACUUUCAGCGGGGAGGAAGGGAGUAAAGUUAAUACCUUUGCUCAUUGACGUUACCCGCAGAAGAAGCACCGGCUAACUCCGUG
rnacentral:rRNA from 1 species